GACGAACGCUGGCGGCGCGCCUAACACAUGCAAGUCGAACGGAGCUGAGAGGAGCUUGCUUUUCUCAGCUUAGUGGCGAACGGGUGAGUAACGCGUGAGUAACCUGCCCUGGAGUGGGGGACAACAGUUGGAAACGACCGCUAAUACCGCAUAAGCCCACGAUCCGGCAUCGGAUUGAGGGAAAAGGAUUUAUUCGCUUCAGGAUGGACUCGCGUCCAAUUAGCUAGUUGGUGAGGUAACGGCCCACCAAGGCGACGAUUGGUAGCCGGACUGAGAGGUUGAACGGCCACAUUGGGACUGAGACACGGCCCAGACUCCUACGGGAGGCAGCAGUGGGGGAUAUUGCACAAUGGGGGAAACCCUGAUGCAGCGACGCCGCGUGGAGGAAGAAGGUUUUCGGAUUGUAAACUCCUGUCGUUAGGGACGAUAAUGACGGUAC
rnacentral:rRNA from 1 species